rnacentral:rRNA from 1 species
ACGAACGCUGGCGGCGUGCUUAACACCUGCAAGUCGCACGGAAAGGCCCUGCUUUUGUGGGGUGCUCGAGUGGUGAACGGGUGAGUAACACGUGAGUAACCUGCCCUUGACUUUGGGAUAACUUCAGGAAACUGGGGCUAAUACCGGAUAGGAGCUCCUGCUGCAUGGUGGGGGUUGGAAAGUUUCGGCGGUUGGGGAUGGACUCGCGGCUUAUCAGCUUGUUGGUGGGGUAGUGGCUUACCAAGGCUUUGACGGGUAGCCGGCCUGAGAGGGUGACCGGCCACAUUGGGACUGAGAUACGGCCCAGACUCCUACGGGAGGCAGCAGUGGGGAAUAUUGCACAAUGGGCGGAAGCCUGAUGCAGCAACGCCGCGUGCGGGAUGACGGCCUUCGGGUUGUAAACCGCUUUCGCCUGUGACGAAGCGUGAGUGACGGUAAUGGGUAAAGAAGCACCGGCUAACUACGUG